GAAAGUGGGAACUAGUGUUAUAUUACAGUAGCAGCCAAUACUGAUCAGUCUCCUGCUCACUGACCUCUCCCUAUCUCUUCUGUCAUUCUUCACCAAUAUACUGCUUCAUUUCUUACCGCUGCCCCUUCUCUCAGGGGGCAAAGUGAAGCCCCUACUCCCUGCAUUGUCCUGUGUUCUCCCAUUAUUGCACCAUUUGCUUAUUUUUCUGAAACCAUAAAGCUAAUACUCUCUGUUCACAAGCCAUUCUGCAGUGGAAAUCUUGUAGCUACCUAACUUAAAGCAAGUUGAGAGAAGGCAAGGAAGAAAUGAAAGAAAAUAGAAACAGAAAAAGUAGAAGAAGCAGAAUCCUCAUGGAUCUUUCCUCUGUUAGCUCCUUAGCUCUCGUUCUCAACCUUAUUGUCUUCCUUGUAACCUCCAAAGGCGCAUCAGGUGCUUCUUUCACAUUUGUCAACCGAUGUGACUACACUGUCUGGCCUGGGAUUUUAGCAAAUGCAGGCAGUCCUAGACUCGACAGCACCGGAUUCGAGCUCCCAAAAGACUCAUCUCGUUCAUUUCAAGCCCCAACGGGUUGGUCGGGUCGCUUCUGGGGCCGAACGGGCUGCACAUUCGACGGAUCCGGCUCUGGAACUUGCCAAACAGGCGACUGCGGGUCGGGUCAGAUGGAAUGCAACGGCCUCGGAGCUGCUCCGCCUGUAACUCUGGCUGAGUUCACCCUUGGAACAGGAGGGCAAGAUUUUUAUGACGUCAGCCUCGUUGAUGGCUACAAUAUUCCCAUGAUCGUUGAAGGAAGUGGCGGGUCGGGUCUUUGUGCUUCGACCGGGUGUACAGCUGACUUAAACCGGCAAUGCCCCUCGGAACUCCGGGUUGGGGAAGGUGAUGCUUGCAAGAGCGCGUGUGAGGCGUUUGGGAGCCCCGAAUAUUGUUGUAGUGGCGCGUAUAGCACACCCGCGACGUGUAAACCGUCGGUUUACUCGGAGAUGUUCAAGGCCGCGUGUCCGAGAUCUUACAGCUACGCGUACGAUGAUGCUACAAGCACAUUCACGUGUACUGGAGCAGAUUAUACGGUGACAUUUUGUCCCUCUUCUCCCAGUCAAAAAUCUUCCAGAGGUACUACACCAGUUACAGAAGCUACCCCAACGACAGGCUCAACGUCACAAGGUUCAGGGUCAGAAUCUGGGAUAUCAUAUUCGGGUAAUGGUUAUGGAUAUUCUGGUUCAGGGUAUUCAAGUUCUGGUUAUGGAUACUCUGGAACCGGGUACUCUGGUUCAGGUUCAAGCUCUGAAUCAGGAUCUGGACAAACCAUGUUGACAGAUGGGUCAUGGUUAGCAGGUUUGGCCAUGGGGGAUUCGCCAAGAACAGCCUCUCCCUCUAUUCCACAAUCUUUUCUCAUGGCAUUAACUGCUGUCUCUCUCUUGUUUUCAUUUCUUUACUUGUAGCCCUUCUCUAUCUUUGUAUCAUGGCUUUUGUUUUUUUUUGUUAAAUGUGAAUUCUUUGCAGAUUUGCAGCUUUGAUGGGUAAUGGGGUAUGGCCUUUGUUUGAAAAGCGGACAGAUUCUUGGUCCAGUUUGUAAACCAUCCGCUUCAAGAUUCCCCCUUACAAAUUUCAGUGUGCUAUAUAACAUUAAAAGCUUUUGCCUUUGUCUGCCAUGGAUUUGGAGCAUCACUUUGUUCGGUGGAAGUGGAAUUAAUAGUAGUAAAUAAUACCAUCGGAACGUUGGUUGAGCUUUCAAGAGACUACGAGUAAAUGAUCAAAUGGGACCUCAGAAGAGUGAGAACAAGUCAAGUGGUUGGGAUUGUUUGUCCUUGGUGCGAUCAUUUCCCCUUGAAAAUUUUACCAAAUUAAAAUCUUUUUUCUAA